rnacentral:ncRNA from 1 species
CACCGCCAGUCACACUAUAGGAGCUGGCCCUGUUUGAAGUCAUUACCCUUAACCGUGAGGGGAUGCCUAAAGCUAGGCUUGCGAGUGAAGUCGUAACAAGAUAGCCGUAUUGGAAGGUGCGGCUG